AUGGUCGACGCGGGUCAAAGUUUAGUAUCUGUUCUUAUCUGCUUAAUAUCUGAUACGGGUUGCAAGUAUUUGAACCUAGGACAUUACACUUAUUUUUGCAAGUUGGCGGAGUGCUUGAAGCCUGUUUCACCUCCGCCGCGGGUCGGCCUGGUAUUACACUAACUUCGAGGUCGGUCCGCGGUUC